rnacentral:rRNA from 1 species
UACGUAGGGGGCAAGCGUUGUCCGGAAUCAUUGGGCGUAAAGCGCGCGUAGGCGGCCCUGUAAGUCCGUUGUGAAAGUCAAAGGCUCAACCUUUGAAAGCCGAUGGAUACUGCAGGGCUAGAGUCCGGAAGAGGCGAGUGGAAUUCCUGGUGUAGCGGUGGAAUGCGCAGAUAUCAGGAGGAACACCAAUAGCGAAGGCAGCUCGCUGGGACGGUACUGACGCUGAGACGCGAAAGCGUGGGGAGCAAACGGG